UAUCCACCCAGUCUGUCAGUAAGUUUAACAGCCAGUAAGGUAUUAAGAGGAACCUAAUCUGGAAGAACUUUUGGUUUUAGGAUGCUUGUUUUGUUUUUCACUUUAACUUGCUAGGGGCUGAAACUAAGAUAAACACUCAUUGGCUUUUUAGAGCAUCUAGAUUCGUGUCUGUCCGGGAGGGAUGCACUUUAGAAUCACCUGAGGAUCUUUUACAGGUACAAACGCUGGGCGCCACCUUCUCAAACAGGUGAUUCGGCGGCACGCGCUCCUGGAGAACCUUGUGUGCCAUUUGUUUGUACGGCUUUCGUCUCCCAACAGGCCUUUUCCACUUCUGUGUCUAGAUCCAGCAAGCUGGACUUUCUUCCUAACUCUUGUCCGGGCACUGCCCCCAGACCCCGGAGAGGAAGAAAGCCUAGGAGGCGGCCGUUGGCGCGGCUGCCCACAUUGGGGAUCCUCUGCUGGCGGAUCGCGGAAAACCCACGCGCUUCAGCAGAUACUUAUUGAGGCCCUGUUGUGUCCUGAGCUGUCGGCGGGGUGCCAGGGCCAACAGGGCCAGCAAACGGAAAGACCUGAUCCCGGCUCAUAAGACUGUCACAUCCAGCAGAGAAGAUUCAGGGACGGAGAGACACGUGCUGUGGCGGAGGAGUGGAAGGUUCGCAGGAGAGGAGUGCAAGUGGAGCCAUGAAAAAUGGGAUUUAGCCAGGUCAAGAGUGGAAGCAAGACCUUGAAGGUGUGCAUGGGGAAGUGGUAAAGAGUGAGGCUGGCUGGCAGGACCAGGGCCAGGUCUGGGGGAGCCUUUAUUGCCACACUGAGAAUUUGUAUUUGGCCUGAAAACUGCAAAGAGCCACUGAGGGAAUUCAGGUAGAGGUGUUAAAGUGACUUUAUUUGCAUUUUUGAAAGAACCUGUGUUUUUAAAAUGACUACUGCACAUAACCCGUCACACACGUGCUUUGUCAGUUUUUUCACCAGCAGGUACUGGCCCACAGGCUUGAGAACGUACAGGAGUGCAGAAUUCUCUGGGAGUAUGCCAGGGAUGCUUUUUGAUUUUUGCCUAGGGCUUCCUGCGCAAAAUCUGCCAGUGUCCUGAAAAGCCUGAGUCCUGGCUUUGUGUUGCCUGGGGCAAGUCACUGCGCUUCCUGAG
rnacentral:lncRNA from 1 species